rnacentral:rRNA from 1 species
CCAGACUCCUACGGGAGGCAGCAGUGGGGAAUAUUGGUCAAUGGGCGGGAGCCUGAACCAGCCAAGUCGCGUGAGGGACGACGGUCCUAUGGAUUGUAAACCUCUUUUGUCGGGGAACAAAGGCGCCCACGGGUGGGCGGAUGAGUGUACCCGAAGAAAAAGCAUCGGCUAACUCCGUGCCAGCAGCCGCGGUAAUACGGAGGAUGCGAGCGUUAUCCGGAUUUAUUGGGUUUAAAGGGUGCGUAGGCGGAAUAUCAAGUCAGCGGUAAAAAUUCGGGGCUCAACCCCGUCGUGCCGUUGAAACUGAUGUUCUUGAGUGGGCGAGAAGUAUGCGGAAUGCGUGGUGUAGCGGUGAAAUGCAUAGAUAUCACGCAGAACCCCGAUUGCGAAGGCAGUAUACCGGCGCCCAACUGACGCUGAAGCACGAAAGCGUGGGUAUCGAACAGGAUUAGAUACCCUUGUACA